GACGAACGCUGGCGGCGUGCUUAACACAUGCAAGUCGAACGGAAAGGCCCUGCUUUUGUGGGGUGCUCGAGUGGCGAAAGGGUGAGUAACACGUAAGUAACCUGCCCUUGACUUUGGGAUAACUUCAGGAAACUGGGGCUAAUACCGGAUAGGAGCUCCUGCUGCAUGGUGGGGGUUGGAAAGUUUCGGCGGUUGGGGAUGGACUCGCGGCUUAUCAGCUUGUUGGUGGGGUAGUGGCUUACCAAGGCUUUGACGGGUAGCCGGCCUGAGAGGGUGACCGGCCACAUUGGGACUGAGAUACGGGCCAGACUCCUACGGGAGGCAGCAGUGAGGAAUAUUGCACGAUGGGCGGAAGCCUGAUGCAGCAACGCCGCGUGCGGGAUGACGGCCUUCGGGUUGUAAACCGCGUUCGCCUGUGACGAAGCGUGAGUGACGGUAAUGGGUAAAGAAGCACCGGCUAACUACGUG
rnacentral:rRNA from 1 species